GAAUAAUCAUGAUGCUUUAUACCUACAUUAUUUGAUAUACAUGAAAUAUGCCAAAACUGAAUUAUUU